rnacentral:rRNA from 1 species
AGUGAACGCUGGCGGUAGGCCUAACACAUGCAAGUCGAACGGCAGCACAGUAAGAGCUUGCUCUUACGGGUGGCGAGUGGCGGACGGGUGAGGAAUACAUCGGAAUCUACUUUUUCGUGGGGUAUAACGUAGGGAAACUUACGCUAAUACCGCAUACGACCUACGGGUGAAAGCAGGGGAUCUUCGGACCUUGCGCGAUUGAAUGAGCCGAUGUCGGAUUAGCUAGUUGGCGGGGUAAAGGCCCACCAAGGCGACGAUCCGUAGCUGGUCUGAGAGGAUGAUCAGCCACGCUGGAACUGAGACACGGUCCAGACUCCUACGGGAGGCAGCAGUGGGGAAUAUUGGACAAUGGGCGCAAGCCUGAUCCAGCCAUACCGCGUGGGUGAAGAAGGCCUUCGGGUUGUAAAGCCCUUUUGUUGGGAAAGAAAAGCAGCAGGUUAAUACCCCGCUGUUCUGACGGUACCCAAAGAAUAAGCACCGGCUAACUUCGUG